rnacentral:rRNA from 1 species
CUACGAGUUGCAGCAGUGAGGAAUAUUGCACAAUGGGGGGAACCCUGAUGCAGCAACGCCGCGUGGAGGAUGACGCAUUACGGUGUGUAAACUCCUUUUAUAUGUCAAGAAAAUGACGGUAGCAUAUGAAUAAGCACCGGCUAACUCCGUGCCAGCAGCCGCGGUAAUACGGAGGGUGCAAGCGUUACUCGGAAUCACUGGGCGUAAAGGACGCGUAGGCGGGUUGGAAAGUCAGGUGUGAAAUCCUACAGCUUAACUGUAGAACUGCACUUGAAACUUCUAAUCUAGAGUAUGGGAGGGGGAGAUGGAAUUAGUGGUGUAGGGGUAAAAUCCGUAGAUAUCACUAGGAAUACCUAAAGCGAAGGCGAUCUCCUGGAACAUUACUGACGCUAAGGCGUGAAAGCGUGGGGAGCAAACAGGAUUAGAUACCCGUGUAGUU